UGGGGUAUCGUCCAAUGGCAGGACAGCAGUCUCUGGAACUGUAGAUCGGGGUUCGAAUCCCUGUACCCCAG
rnacentral:tRNA from 1 species